rnacentral:tRNA from 1 species
AUAAAUAUAGUUUAGACUAAAACAUUAUAUUUUCAUUAUAAAAAUAAUAAAUUUUAUUUAUUUAUA